CCUACGGGAGGCUGCAGUGGGGAAUAUUGCACAAUGGGGGAAACCCUGAUGCAGCGACGCCGCGUGCGUGAAGACGUAUCUCGGUACUUUAAGCUCCAUCAGCAGGGAAGAAAAUGACGGUACCUGACUAAGAAGCCACGGCUAACUACGUGCCAGCAGCCGCGGUAAUACGGGGGGGGCAAGCGUUAUCCGGAUUUACUGGGUGUAAAGGGAGCGUAGGCGGCAGCACAAGUCUGGAGUGAAAUCCCUGGGCUUAACCCCGGAACUGCUGUGGAAACUGGGCGGCUGGAGUGCAGGAGGGGUAAGCGGAAUUCCUGGUGUAGCGGUGAAAUGCGUAGAUAUUAGGAAGAACACCGGUUGCGAAGGCGGCUUACUGGACUGUAACUGACGUUGAGGCUCGAAAGCGUGGGGAGCAAACAGGAUUAGAUACCCGAGUAGUC
rnacentral:rRNA from 1 species